UGCCAGCCGCCGCGGUAAUACAGAGGGUGCGAGCGUUAAUCGGAAUAACUGGGCGUAAAGGGUGCGUAGGUGGAUAAAUAAGUCGAUUGUGAAAGCCCCGGGCUCAACCUGGGAACAGCAAUCGAAACUGUUUGUCUAGAGUAGGGUAGAGGGAAGUGGAAUUUCCGGUGUAGCGGUGAAAUGCGUAGAUAUCGGAAGGAACACCAGUGGCGAAGGCGACUUUCUGGACUCAUACUGACACUGAGGCACGAAAGCGUGGGGAGCAAACAGGAUUAGAUA
rnacentral:rRNA from 1 species